rnacentral:rRNA from 1 species
UAGAGUUUGGAUCAUGGCUCAGAUUGAACGCUGGCGGCAGGCCUAACACAUGCAAGUCGAGCGGAAACGAUGGAAGCUUGCUUCCAGGCGUCGAGCGGCGGACGGGUGAGUAAUGCAUGGGAAUCUGCCCGAUAGUGGGGGAUAACCUGGGGAAACCCAGGCUAAUACCGCAUACGUCCUACGGGAGAAAGCAGGGGAUCUUCGGACCUUGCGCUAUCGGAUGAGCCCAUGUCGGAUUAGCUUGUUGGUGAGGUAAUGGCUCACCAAGGCGACGAUCCGUAGCUGGUCUGAGAGGAUGAUCAGCCACAUCGGGACUGAGACACGGCCCGAACUCCUACGGGAGGCAGCAGUGGGGAAUAUUGGACAAUGGGCGAAAGCCUGAUCCAGCCAUGCCGCGUGUGUGAAGAAGGCCCUCGGGUUGUAAAGCACUUUCAGUGGGGAAGAAAGCCUUGGGAUUAAUACUCCCGAGGAAGGACAUCACCCACAGAGAGCCG